rnacentral:rRNA from 1 species
GGUUAAGCGACUAAGCGUACACGGUGGAUGCCCUGGCAGUCAGAGGCGAUGAAGGACGUGCUAAUCUGCGAUAAGCGUCGGUGAGGUGAUAUGAACCGUUAUAACCGGCGAUUUCCGAAUGGGGAAACCCAGUGUGUUUCGACACACUAUCAUUAACUGAAUCCAUAGGUUAAUGAGGCGAACCGGGGGAACUGAAACAUCUAAGUACCCCGAGGAAAAGAAAUCAACCGAGAUUCCCCCAGUAGCGGCGAGCGAACGGGGAGGAGCCCAGAGCCUGAAUCAGUGUGUGUGUUAGUGGAAGCGUCUGGAAAGGCGCGCGAUACAGGGUGACAGCCCCGUACACAAAAAUGCACAUAUUGUGAGCUCGAUGAGUAGGGCGGGACACGUGGUAUCCUGUCUGAAUAUGGGGGGACCAUCCUCCAAGGCUAAAUACUCCUGACUGACCGAUAGUGAACCAGUACCGUGAGGGAAAGGCGAAAAGAACCCCGGCGAGGGGAGUGAAAAAGAACCUGAAACCGUGUACGUACAAGCAGUGGGAGCCUCUUAAUGGGGUGACUGCGUACCUUUUGUAUAAUGGGUCAGCGACUUAUAUUCUGUAGCAAGGUUAACCGAAUAGGGGAGCCGAAGGGAAACCGAGUCUUAACUGGGCGUUAAGUUGCAGGGUAUAGACCCGAAACCCGGUGAUCUAGCCAUGGGCAGGUUGAAGGUUGGGUAACACUAACUGGAGGACCGAACCGACUAAUGUUGAAAAAUUAGCGGAUGACUUGUGGCUGGGGGUGAAAGGCCAAUCAAACCGGGAGAUAGCUGGUUCUCCCCGAAAGCUAUUUAGGUAGCGCCUCGUGAAUUCAUCUCCGGGGGUAGAGCACUGUUUCGGCAAGGGGGUCAUCCCGACUUACCAACCCGAUGCAAACUGCGAAUACCGGAGAAUGUUAUCACGGGAGACACACGGCGGGUGCUAACGU